rnacentral:rRNA from 1 species
GACGAACGCUGGCGGCGUGCUUAACACAUGCAAGUCGAACGAAGUGGCGAACGGGUGAGUAACGCGUAAUCAACCUGCCCUUCAGAGGGGGACAACAGUUGGAAACGACUGCUAAUACCGCAUACUGAAGGAGGGGAUUGCGUCUGAUUAGCAAGCUGGAGGGGUAACGGCUCAACAAGGCGAUGAUCAGGAGCCGGUGUGAGAGGAUGAACGAGCAAAUUGGGACUGAGACAAGGCCCAGACUCCUACGGGAGGCAGCAGGGGGGAUUCUUCCGCAAUGGACGAAAGUCUGACGGAGCAACUCCGCGGGAGUGAUGGCGGCCUUCGGGUUGUAAAGCUCUGUUAAUCGGGACGCGGUACCGGAAUAGAAAGCCACGGCUAACUACGUGCCAGCAGCCGCGGUAAUAC